GCGCCAAUAGUCUAGUGGUUAGGAUACGUGCUUCCCAAGCACGUGGGCCGGGUUCGAUUCCCGGUUGGCGCA